GACAGAGGUGCCGAGCGUUAGGCGGAAUCACUGGGCUUAAAGCGUGUGUAGGCGGGCGGGCAAGUACCUUGUGAAAUCCCACGGCUCAACCGUGGAACGGCUGGGUAUACUGCCUGUCUUGAGCCAACUAGGGGCGAGCGGAACAGACGGUGGAGCGGUGAAAUGCGUAGAUAUCGGGAGGAACACCUAUGGCGAAGGCAGCUCGCUGGGACGUUACUGACGCUGAGACGCGAAAGCGUGGGGAGCAAACAGG
rnacentral:rRNA from 1 species